CGUACACUCCUGCGGGAGGCAGCAGUGGGGAAUAUUGGACAAUGGGCGCAAGCCUGAUCCAGCCAUGCCGCGUGAGUGAUGAAGGCCCUAGGGUUGUAAAGCUCUUUCACCGGUGAAGAUAAUGACGGUAACCGGAGAAGAAGCCCCGGCUAACUUCGUGCCAGCAGCCGCGGUAAUACGAAGGGGGCUAGCGUUGUUCGGAUUUACUGGGCGUAAAGCGCACGUAGGCGGACUAUUAAGUCAGGGGUGAAAUCCCGGGGCUCAACCCCGGAACUGCCUUUGAUACUGGUGGUCUUGAGUUCGGGAGAGGUGAGUGGAAUGCCGAGUGUAGAGGUGAAAUUCGUAGAUAUUCGGAGGAACACCAGUGGCGAAGGCGGCUCACUGGCUCGAUACUGACGCUGAGGUGCGAAAGCGUGGGGAGCAAACAGGAUUAGAAACCCCAGUAGUCCC
rnacentral:rRNA from 1 species